rnacentral:lncRNA from 1 species
GUGGAAGUUUACACUUAAAACAGUACCAUUAAAAGUGUGAAACUCUUAGGGAUAAUUUAACUACAGUCAAAACCUGUGCACUAGAAACUACAAAAUAUUGUUGAAAGAAAUUAAAAUGCAAAGAAAAUGAAGAAAUAUUCCGUGGAUCAGAAAACUAAAUAUCAUUAAGAUAUAUUCUACCCCAAAUUUAUCUACUGACUCAAUACAAUUCCAGUCAAAAUCUGAAGCCAAAUAUUUGUAGAAACCGAUAGGCUGAUUCUGCAUUUAUGUGGGAAUCAAAAGACUUCAAGUAGACAAAACAAUUUUGAAAAAAACAAACAUGGAGGAUUUACACUACCUGGUUUAUAGUGUUAUUUUUAUAAAGCUUCAGUAGUUAAACAGCGUUGAAUUGAGCUUGAGAACAGAUGUUGAUCAAAAAACAAUUAAAAGAGUUAAGACCCACACACACAGCCUCAGUUGCGUUUGCCAGAGGUUCCAUGAUGAGAUGAUGAAGUGAUUGUCCCAAAGUGGUACUGAUAGUAGAAAUUCAGGUAAACGAAUGUGAUCUUCAUACCACAUACAAAUUUGAUUCAAAAUGGGUUAUAUGUUUAAAUAUAAGAGCUAAGUUUAUACAACUUCAAAAAGAAAAUGAGUUAUUUGUGAUUUUAGGUUAGGCAAUGAUUUCCAGAUAAAAAGCAUGAAUUGCAGAAUGAAAGAAUUGAUGCAUUGGACUUUAUCAAAAUUUAACCUUUUUCUCUUCAAAAGAUCUUGCUAAGAAAAUAAAAUCUCAGAAUUGGAAAAAAUAUUUACAAAACAUGCAUAUGUAUAUACCAAAGAGAGGUUAAAAUAUAGGUACACACACACAAAAAAAAAGAAAAAAAAAAACUAUAUAUAAAUGUUCAGAGAAACCUAAUAGCCAAAAGAGUGGAAAAAGCCUAAUGUCCAAUCAAAUGAUGAAUAAACAAAAUGUGGUAAAUAUACAAUAUAGAAUAAUAUUCAGCAUUAAAAAUAAUGAAAUGCUGAUAUAAGGUAUGACAUAAUGAACCCUGAAACAAUUAUGCUAAGUGAAAGAAAUUAGUCACCAGACUAUAUAUUUUGAUUCCAUUUAUAUAAAAUGUCCAAAAUAUGCAAAUUUUUAUAGAAAUGAAAGAGAUUCUGGUUGCCUAUGACAGGCAGCAAGGGAGAGAAUGGAGAAUAACUGCUAAUGGGUAUGUUUCUUUUAAGGGUAUGAAAAUGUUGUA